GUCUAUGGCCGUGCCACCUUGAACGCAUCUGAUCUUGUCUGAUCUCAGAGGCUAAGCAGGGUCAGACCUGGUUAGUACUUGGAUGGGAGACCACCUAGGAAGACCGGCUACUGUAGGCA
rfam:Pteropus alecto contig11401, whole genome shotgun sequence.